rnacentral:rRNA from 1 species
UUAGAGUUUUGAUCAUGGCUCAGGAUGAACGCUGCGGCGUGCCUAAUACAUGCAAGUCGAGCGAACAGAGAGGAGCUUGCUCCUUUGACGUUAGCGGCGGACGGGUGAGUAACCGUGGUAACCUACCUAUAAGACUGGGAUAACUUCGGGAAACCGGAGCUAAUACCGGAUAAUAUUUCGAACCGCAUGGUUCAUAGUGAAAGAUGGCUUUGCUAUCACUAUAGAUGGACCUGCCCGUAUUAGCUAGUUGGUAAGGUAACGGCUUACCAAGGCAACGAUACGUACCGCCUGAGAGGGUGAUCGGCCCCUGGAACUGAGACAGGUCCAGACUCCUACGGAGCACAGUAGGGAUCUUCCGCAAUGGGCGAACCUGACGGAGCAACGCCGCGUGAGUGAUGAAGGUCUUCGGAUGUAAAACUCUGUUAUUAGGGAAGACAAACGUGUAAGUAACUGUGCACGUCUUGACGGUACCUAAUCAGAAAGCCACGGCUAACUACGUGCCAGCAGCCGCGGUAAUACGUAGGUGGCAAGCGUUAUCCGGAAUUAUUGGGCGUAAAGCGCGCGUAGGCGGUUUUUUAAGUCUGAUGUGAAAGCCCACGGCUCAACCGUGGAGGGUCAUUGGAAACUGGAAAACUUGAGUGCAGAAGAGGAAAGUGGAAUUCCAUGUGUAGCGGUGAAAUGCGCAGAGAUAUGGAGGAACACCAGUGGCGAAGGCGACUUUCUGGUCUGUAACUGACGCUGAGUGCGAAAGCGUGGGGAUCAAACAGGAUUAGAUACCCUGGUAGUCCACGCCGUAAACGAUGAGUGCUAAGUGUUAGGGGGUUUCCGCCCCUUAGUGCUGCAGCUAACGCAUUAAGCACCCCCCCCCG